UACGGAGGAUGCGAGCGUUAUCCGGAUUUAUUGGGUUUAAAGGGUGCGCAGGCGGUCUGUUAAGUCAGCGGUCAAAGCCCGGGGCUCAACCCCGGCCCGCCGUUGAAACUGGCAGUCUCGAGUUGGAGAGAAGUAUGCGGAGUGCGCGGUGUAGCGGUGAAAUGCAUAGAUAUCGCGCAGAACUCCGAUUGCGAAGGCAGCAUGCCGGCUCCACACUGACGCUGAGGCACGAAAGCGUGGGUAUCGAACAGG
rnacentral:rRNA from 1 species